UACAGAGGGGGCAAGCGUUAUUCGGAAUUAUUGGGCGUAAAGGGCGCGUAGGCGGCCUGGCAAGUGGAAGGUGAAAUCCCUCGGCUUAACCGAGGAACUGCCCUCCAAACUGCUUGGCUUGAGUCCGGGAGAGGUGAGUGGAAUUCCCAGUGUAGCGGUGAAAUGCGCAGAUAUCAGGAAGAACACCCGUGGCGAAAGCGGCUCUCUGGAACGGUACUGACGCUGAGACGCGAAAGCGUGGGGAGCGAACAGG
rnacentral:rRNA from 1 species